GUAGUAUAAAUGAUGUUCUUUAGUAUUAAAAGUGUUCUUUAAAUUAAAAAAAUUUGGCGGUAUUUAAGUCUUAUUAGAGGAAUUUGCAGUUUAAUCGAUAGUCCCCGAUAAUCUUUCCUUAGUUUGUAUUUUAACUUAUAUACCGUUGUCUGCAAAUUACAUUAAUAGGUGUUUUUUAUAAAAAUUUUUUAAGUCAAAUCAAGGUGUAGUUUAUGCUGAGGUUACUGUGAAUUACAAUAGCUGUAGUUAUACGGAUUUUAGAGUGUAAUCUCUGGAUGAAGGAGGAUUUAAUUGUAAAUUUUAUUUAUUAAGUUUUUUUGAAUAAGUACUUAUAUAUGU
rnacentral:rRNA from 1 species